UACGGAGGGUGCGAGCGUUAAUCGGAAUUACUGGGCGUAAAGCGCGCGUAGGCGGUCUGUUAAGUCAGUUGUGAAAGCCCUGGGCUCAACCUGGGAACUGCAAUUGAUACUGGCAGACUCGAAUACAGGAGAGGGAGGUAGAAUUCCACGUGUAGCGGUGAAAUGCGUAGAUAUGUGGAGGAAUACCAGUGGCGAAGGCGGCCUCCUGGCCUGAUAUUGACGCUGAGGUGCGAAAGCGUGGGGAGCAAACAGG
rnacentral:rRNA from 1 species